CAUGUCCUUUUGAUUAUAAUUUAAGGUCUAAUCUGCUCAAUGAUUAUUUAAAUUGCCGCGGUAUCUUAACCGUGCAAAGGUAGCAUAAUAAUUAGUUUUUUUAUUGAAAGCUGGAAUGAAUGAUUGGACGAGAAAAUAGCUGUCUCUUUAAAAAUUUUUAUUUAAUUUAACUUUUAAGUAAAAAGGCUUAAAUUUUUAUUAAAGACGAGAAGACCCUAUAGAGUUUUAUAUUUAAUUUGUAAUAAUUUAUUUGGAAUUUAUUUAAUUUUUUAUGUUUUAAUUAUUUGGUUGGGGUGACUAGAAGAUUAAUUAAACUCUUUUAAAUUUUUUAUCAUUGAUUUUUGAAUGUAUUAUCUAGAUUUUUUAAAUUUAAGAUUAAUUACCUUAGGGAUAACAGCGUAAUUUCUUUUUAGAGUUCUUAUUGAUAAGGAAGUUUGCGACCUCGAUGUUGGAUUAAAAUUUAUUUUUGGUGCAGAAGCUGAAUAAUUAAGUCUGUUCGACUUUUAAAAUUUUACAUGAUCUGAGU
rnacentral:rRNA from 1 species